rnacentral:rRNA from 1 species
UACGAAGGGGGCUAGCGUUGUUCGGAAUUACUGGGCGUAAAGCGCACGUAGGCGGAUAUUUAAGUCAGGGGUGAAAUCCCAGAGCUCAACUCUGGAACUGCCUUUGAUACUGGGUAUCUUGGGUAUGGAAGAGGUAAGUGGAAUUGCGAGUGUAGAGGUGAAAUUCGUAGAUAUUCGCAGGAACACCAGUGGCGAAGGCGGCUUACUGGUCCAUUACUGACGCUGAGGUG